AGGUCUGUCUCCUGUUUCUGGGGUAAAUUAGUCUGAAGGAUGUUUCCUGCUCAUGGGAGGGACUAUAAAUCAGCCCAAUACUGAGGAGACAUUCAAAACUCCCACAUACUCCUGAUAUGAGCCGUUGGAUGUGUAUAGAUGAACACAUUCUUUCAACUGAUACUGUCUUUACCAGCUUCAUCCGAAAUUGUUGUGCUGUGAUGGGAACAUGCUGCUACUUAGUUUACAUGGCGAUCUAUUGUUAUGGUAUGAGAUUUCAGUUUAACCCAUCCCAAAAUGUCAAACAAGAAAAAUCUAACUGGUUUGCCACUUUGCAUGUUGGCCAGCCAGUUCCUUUCUGUCUAGAUUAAA